GGAACUGAGGGUGAUCUGGCUACAGUGUGUCACCCAUUGAUCUCCAGGUUGAUCUGGCUGGUGCGAUGUACCAGGCAGGUGUCCCCUUACUCCUUACCACUCUGUGUGCAUCCCCCUGAGAGCUGUGGCGGGCUGAAGAGGAGGGCGGUGCCUGAUGAAGAACAGUUGUGCUGCCCUGCCAGACCUCCAAGAAGCUCUCAAAAAAUGGGGUGGGGACAUAGCCUGGUGUAAGGCGCCUGGGUCAAUCCGUGCUCUCUUAUAGCACAUGUGCACACACGCAUACAUGCACACGUGUGUGC
rnacentral:sRNA from 1 species